rnacentral:rRNA from 1 species
GACGAACGCUGGCGGCGUGCUUAACACAUGCAAGUCGAACGGAAAGGCCCUGCUUUUGUGGGGUGCUCGAGUGGCGAACGGGUGAGUAACACGUGAGUAACCUGCCCUUGACUUUGGGAUAACUUCAGGAAACUGGGGCUAAUACCGGAUAGGAGCUCCUGCUGCAUGGUGGGGGUUGGAAAGUUUCGGCGGUUGGGGAUGGACUCGCGGCUUAUCAGCUUGUUGGUGGGGUAGUGGCUUACCAAGGCUUUGACGGGUAGCCGGCCUGAGAGGGUGACCGGCCACAUUGGGACUGGGAUACGGCCCAGACUCCUACGGGAGGCAGCAGUGGGGAAUAUUGCACAAUGGGCGGAAGCCUGAUGCAGCAACGCCGCGUGCGGGAUGACGGCCUUCGGGUUGUAAACCGCUUUCGCCUGUGACGAAGCGUGAGUGACGGUAAUGGGUAAAGAAGCACCGGCUAACUACG